rnacentral:rRNA from 1 species
GACGAACGCUGGCGGCGUGCCUAAUACAUGCCAGUCGAACGCACUCUCGUUUAGAUUGAAGGAGUUUGCUCCCGAUUGAUAAACAUUUGAGUGAGUGGCGGACGGGUGAGUAACACGUGGGUAACCUGCCCUAAAGUGGGGGAUAACAUUUGGAAACAGAUGCUAAUACCGCAUAAAACCUAACACCGCAUGGUGUAGGGUUGAAAGAUGGUUUCGGCUAUCACUUUAGGAUGGACCCGCGGUGCAUUAGUUAGUUGGUGAGGUAAAGGCUCACCAAGACCGUGAUGCAUAGCCGACCUGAGAGGGUAAUCGGCCACACUGGGACUGAGACACGGCCCAGACUCCUACGGGAGGCAGCAGUAGGGAAUCUUCCACAAUGGACGAAAGUCUGAUGGAGCAACGCCGCGUGAGUGAAGAAGGUUUUCGGAUCGUAAAACUCUGUUGUUGGAGAAGAAUGUAUCUGAUAGUAACUGAUCAGGUAGUGACGGUAUCCAACCAGAAAGCCACGGCUAACUACGUG